UUUGGCUUUACUACCGACCUAUGCUACCGACAGCCAGAAUGAAAACCCCAGACGGAAAAAUAACUGUAACAGAACCCCAACAGCAUCAGCAUACUCAACUAAAAGUGGAUCUACAGAGUGACUACGUGUGUCAACACACACACACGUUAAAAUGUUCUGUGUUAAAAUGUUAAAUAGGCAAAUGUAUGAAAUGGACUUUGUGGACACACAUGUGCACGCACGCAUGCACGCACACACGCGCACACACACACACACACACUGGUUCACUUGAAAUGAUAAAAUGUUAUGGCAAAUAAGGACAGCUCUUCUUUGCGGGAACAAGACGAGCUGUCAAAAGUAAAGAAGACACCAGGCGGCUCUUCAUAGAGUUUCAC